UACGUAGGGUGCAAGCGUUGUCCGGAAUUAUUGGGCGUAAAGAGCUCGUAGGCGGUCUGUUGCGUCGGCUGUGAAAACCCGGGGCUCAACUCCGGGCCUGCAGCCGAUACGGGCAGACUAGAGUUCGGCAGGGGAGACUGGAAUUCCUGGUGUAGCGGUGAAAUGCGUAGAUAUCGUAAGGAAGACCAGUGGCGAAGGCGAAUCUCUGGACAGUUACUGACGCUGAGGCACGAAGGCCAGGGGAGCAAACGGG
rnacentral:rRNA from 1 species